UGAGGAAUAUUGGUCAAUGGGCGCAGGCCUGAACCAGCCAAGUCGCGUGAGGGAAGACUGCCCUAUGGGUUGUAAACCUCUUUUAUAAGGGAAGAAUAAUGACUACGUGUAGUCAGAUGCCCGUACCUUAUGAAUAAGCAUCGGCUAACUCCGUGCCAGCAGCCGCGGUAAUACGGAGGAUGCGAGCGUUAUCCGGAUUUAUUGGGUUUAAAGGGUGCGUAGGCGGUAUUUUAAGUUAGUGGUAAAACGUCGGGGCUUCACCUUGAUUGGCCAUUAAAACUGGAGUACUAGAGUACAGACGAGGUAGGCGGAAUAAGUUAAGUAGCGGUGAAAUGCUUAGAUAUAACUUAGAACCCCGAUAGCGAAGGCAGCUUACCAGACUGUUACUGACGCUGAAGCACGAGAGCGUGGGUAGCGAACA
rnacentral:rRNA from 1 species